UAGCUCAGUCGGUAGAGCAGGUGACUGUUAAUCACCGGGUCGCAGGUUCGAGCCCU
rnacentral:tRNA from 1 species